rnacentral:tRNA from 1 species
CAGAGAAUAGAGAUUUUAGCUCUCAGAAUUCUGGCUUUGGGAGCCAGGGGUCUGAGAGUUAAAAUCUCUCUUUUCUGG